GGUAUUAGAUAUAUGUCAAAGCUAUUCUCGCUGUUAUGCCAGGUUUCCCUGCCUAAGAUCAAUACCGACACAGAGUAUAGCCCUUUGAAAUUCAGCCUGCGAGACAACACCUGUGACAACCAUACAGGUAGAAAUGCAGAUGACAGAGAUGGCAGCUAUCAUCACAUAGCUGCAGGAGGACCCUGUCUGUACUGUGGUCAACUGCCCUGCUCCACUCACAGUCAUCAGGAUAAAGAGAACAGGAGUAGUGGGGGAAAAGCUUCAACAAUUAAGCUACUGGGGAAAAAAUGCCCUAACCAUGAUGUUUAACUACUUCACAACCUUGCUCACUCUCUGCUCCUUCUGAUAACCUCUGUUGGACCUCACAGACAGGGCCCACCUGAAUGCAGAGAGAUCAGAGGUUGUUCCAAAGUACGCCCUACUCAGAGUGCCUUCAGCCAAACAACUCAAGCCACUGGAGGACAUCAGCACCAAGUUCUAUGCAGGAACCGAGGUACAGUACUGUAGGUUCUCUUGCCCAUAUCUCCUGUAUACAUGGAUGGAUGGAGGUUUCAAAGGAGAAACUAAUAUCAAGAAACUCAAAAGUACAUAUUACUAGAGGAAGAAUGAGUUUCAUGAAGUUAUGGAGUUAAUACUCUCCCGCAUCUAUCAUAAAGUAAUCAAUUCAAGUCACAUAUCUUGUCAUAUGCCAACUAUACACUCUCCAACCUGGGGCUUAGUCACAGUAAGGUAAAAGCUCUGUUGCUCUUUCUAUCAUGUUUUGCCCCCAGGACAGGGAGAUUGUGUACACAGACUGGAAGUUGGAGAAGGGCAAUGACUCUGGAAGACUGUUCAGUAAGGUCACCGUAGAUUAGACUUGACCUAAUAUAAUAUACUCUAACUUGAGUGGUGUAAAGUACUUAAGUAAAAAUACUUUAAAGUACUACUUAAGUAUCUGUACUUUACUAUUUCUAUUUUUGAUGACUUUUACUUCACUACAUUCCUAAAGAAAAUAGUUUACUCCAUACAUUUUCCCUGAUACCCAAAAGUAUUUGUUACAUUUUGAAUGCUUAGCAAAAAAAUUGUCCAAUUCACUAAUUAUCAAGAGAACAUCCCUGGUCAUCCCUAUUGCCUUUGAUCUGGCAGACUCAUAGCACACAGGCUUUGUUUGUAAAUUAUGUCUGAGUUUUGGAGUAUGUUCCUGGCUAUCUGUAAAUGAAAAAAAAAACAAGAGAAUGGUGCUAUUUGGUUUUCUUAAUAUAAGGAAUUUUAAAUUAUUUAUACUUUUACUUUUGCUACUUAAAACAAAAUAUUUUUACUCAAGUAGUAUUUUACUGGAUUACUUUACUUGAGAAAUGUUCUUUAUUUUUUUGUGUAUUUUACCCCCCUUUUCUCCCCAAUUUUGAUCUUGUCUCAUCGCUGCAACUCUCAAACGGGCUCGGGAAAGGCGAAAGUCGAGCCAUGCAUCCUCUGAAACAUGACCCACCAAACAGCGCUUCUUAACACCCGCCCGCUUAACCUGGAUGCCAGCUGCACCAAUGUGUAGGAAGAAACAACGUUCAACUGAUUACCGAAGUCAGCCUGCAGGCCCCCGGGCUGCCACAAGGAGUCGCUAGAGCGCAAUGAGCCAAGUAAAUCCCUCUCUGGCCAAACCCUCCCCUAACCCAGACAGCGCUGGGCCAAUUGUGCACCGCCUUAUGGGACUACCGGUCACGACACACCCUGGGAUCGAACUCUUUGACCGCUGUGCCACUCAGGAUGCCCUACUUGAGUCUUUUUCUGUUAAGAUAUCUUUACUUUUACUCAAGUAGGACAAUUGAGUACUUUUCCAACACUGUCUAACUCACUUUGAACAGCUAACAACAAUCUCCUAAACCUCUAGAGCUUUGAGUAAUGGGAAGAAAUGAGUUGCAAAUUUAAAAUAUUUUGCUUUCAUCAAGAAUUCCUUAAGUAUGAUGAAUGUAACCUCUCUUAUGGAAA
rnacentral:lncRNA from 13 species